AAAGUCGUAACAAGGUUUCCGUAGGUGAACCUGCGGAAGGAUCAUUAUCGAGUUAGGGUUCCUCUCACGGGCCCGAUCUCCCAACCCUGUGUCUAUCACACCUUGUCGUUGCUUCGGCGGACCGAUGGGACCCCGUGAGGGCUCCUGAUCGCCGGGGGGUGCCGUCCCCUUGGAGCGCGUCCGCCGAUGGCCCAACCACAACUCUUGUCCCCAAACCGAUCGUCUAAAGUAUACUUGAUAUCAAUCAAAAAACAAAACUUUCAACAACGGAUCUCUUGGUUCUG
rnacentral:misc_RNA from 1 species